rnacentral:lncRNA from 1 species
UAUUUAGAUUUAAAAACAUUUUGCUAUUUGUGGCUACAUUUUGGAUAAUGAGCUAUUUUGUAGGAGGAAACAUAUCGAUUCAAUAGUACUACAUAAUAGUACUUAAUCUCAUCACUCAUUAAAACUAGACAGCUCUUAAAUAUAUUAUAAUCAUCUGAGUUUCAAAAUAUCACUAUUUAAAAUUAACUUCACAAAAUUCUAGAAAUUACAAAGCUUAUCUUUUCAUGAAGAAACAAAGAAUUUUUAAAAAUUAACUCUCAAUAUCACUUGUUUUGAUGUCCCUAAUGUUAUACCACUAGUUGCUUUUAUGUCCUUUCCUAUGAAUACUGACAUAGCUAGGAUGCCUUUCCUAUAUUUAUUUUUUAUCAUUGUCUCCUACAGUAUAUAUCACUUAAAGGUCUUUCUCUCCAGAUACUGAAUUUUCACUCCUUUAAUACCUCUUUUAUCCUGAAUAGCAUAAUAAAGUUUCCCUUAAUUCUAUAGUACUUCAGGUAACUUCAUAUUAUCUCUCUCACACACACACACUCACACACACACACACGGAUAUACACAUACAUUAUAUAUGAUAUAUAUGUUUUCCUCUAUCUCAGCUGUGUUUAUUCAGUAUCAGGAAAUUUUUUAUUUGUUCUUUUCAGAUACACAUGACAUUAGAACAUAUUUGGCAUAUUAUACAUACAUGCAUUAUAACUUAUUCUAAUUAGGGUCCUAUUCUUGUGGUUGUACAUGAUGCGGAGUUACCCUGGUCAUGUAUUCAAGCACAAGGAUAGGAAAAUUAUGUCUGGUUAAUUCUAUUAUUCUUCCUAUUCCCCUUCAUCCUUCCUGAAAGAGGAGUAUGAGUAAAUUUGUAUUAUUUAUUUACUUAGAUCACUUAUGGAUUUUAAGAGAGUGAAUCUCUAAUGAUUUAUAGUUGUAAUUUUAAGAGGGAAAAGUACUUGUGAAUUUGUAUCCCUCUUACCAGUGCAUGUAGGCACUACAUUUGAAACACUAUAUAUAAAUUAAUGUAAGUAUAUGUGACAAUGGAUAAUACUUGCAUGUUCAAAUAUAUGCAUGCGUGAAAGUGUGUAUGUUCUAUAUAUGUACAUUCAAAUAUAUGCCUGAAAUUCACACAGAAUCUCUGAAUUCAAUUAUACAAAUGGAGCCUAUUUUAUAAAGACAAGCAUGCAAAAUUGUGGAUGCAGUAGAGUGUUCCAUUAUAAACUUGCCCCACUCUCUGUAAGUUAAAGCAGUGCUCCCCUGAAGACAGUGCUACCAUGGUGAUCCUAUUGCAUUGUAGCUGUGCACUCUCCUGUAUUUAUCUGCACUCCUUUUAGUCUCAUUUCCCUCUGUCUACAGAAUCUCAAAGAUUAACUUUUGUAUUGCUGAAUGAUAAUCACAAGGCUACCUUCUUAUCCUCAUCCACAGUCCUAUAAAUCAUAUCCUCUCAUUUUUCAAGCUUCUAGUCUCUGGAGUAACUCACUCUCUCCAACACUGUUCUCAUAAUUCUUGGUCAUCUCAAGACUUUCUUACAUAAUUCUUUAUUACCUAUCAACCAAUGUCCCUUUCUACCUCUCAUCAGCUCUUAUUCCUGUAAUGUCAUACUUAAUAACUAUAAAAUCCUCUUCAUCUCAAGUAUAGCAGCCUCCCACCAUUGCCUUCCUACAAGCUCAACUCCUUUGACACUGUUGAACCAAAGAACCUUGCAAUUGUGGGUUUAAUGCUCAUAAAAAUUUCAAUAUUUUCAGAUAUUUGAGAAAGUAAAUUCUAUUUAAUUGCAUGUAUUUAUACGUUCACACUUUCUUUCUGCUACUAUGGAUAAACUUUUCUUGCUAUUGUACCUUCCUUUACACAAGACACAAUUAUCAUUAUCCUACUCAAUAAAAUACAUGAAACAUCUUAACACACUCACCCUGAAUCCAUAAAUCUCCAAUCAUACUCAAUGUAUCCCAUAAAUCGCUCUCUAUUUUCUUCUCUAAUUGAGAGUAAAAUUCUAGUAGGUCCUAACUAUUCAUUUUGAUUUUAAGUCUCUGCUUCCUGUCAUGACUGAAGGAAAUCUAUCUAUCACAGUCAGUAACAGAUGCCAUGUUACUAAUUUUUUGAUUGACAAAUCAUAAUUGUUUACACUUAUGGGAUAAUAUAUAUUUUGAUAUAUUUGUACACUAUAAAUGAUCAAAUCAAGCUGAGGAUUCAUUUCAAUUCUCAUCCUAUUUAAUCAUUCUGUAUUCCAUGAUUUUCUUUUUCACAUAGUUCCCAG